CACAUCUCUUGCGCAAAAGAUGCCAGCACAGACGCUCUCUGACGCAAAGACUUUUAACGGAAAAACUUUUCCGUUAAAAGUAUUUGCGCAAAAUCAUGCCAGUCUAGAUGCAGCCAAAGUGAAAGUUUUUCCAAGCAAUAACCUCUUUUAUUUCCCAACCAGGGUGGCAAGCCUGCUUUCUUACAGCAAUUGACUAGUUCUGGGGAUCUGAAAGAAAAAAAUUCCACAGAAUGAGACAGCAUGACCGGGCUGAUUUUAGGGUGGGCUUUUAAUUAAACCUAUGUCCCUCCCAAGACUAUCACACAUUUGCAAUUAAAAACAGAGAGCUUUUACUGUAAGCUACAUAGCUACACCAGACUAACACGGCUACAUUUCUAUCACUAUUCUUUUCAGUUACCUUACAGCUUGCCCUCUUCUCCCUUACAGCUUUCCUGUGCCUGUAAGCAGAGAUAAGGGAUAAGGGGGGGGAGGGAGAUAAGCUUUUAUCUGGCUAUCCUGAAAGUAUGGGAAUCUGACAUUGGUUUGAAAUACAACAAUGCCCACCAGCUGUACAUCCCGUUUUAACAAACAUCCUGUAUUCCAUCCCUACUCCCAAUUACCCAAGAGUUUCCUUAUCACCCCACACCAUACACCCAAACUUGUUUUAAGAUUUAGCUAUAAAUAGAGAGAGAACUUUUGGCAUGCUAUCGCUGUUCAAAAUUUCGCUAUGGAGGAUGACACGGUGGGCCAGAGGUGGGGCGAGCGGAUACUUUACCAACUAGUGCUGAAUUGUUACAAGCUAUAGACGCCGGACUUUUGCGAGAAGAAAGGGCACAGAAGCCUGUGGAAAGGACCAAGAAAGCCGUCUCCACGGCAGAGAACACUUUCCAGAGUGACAAGAAAGACCAACGCCCCCGAUCUCGAUCUACCCUGCCUGUCCCCAGCCUGUCUCAGACAAAGCGAGCGGGGGUUCAAAAGGGCGAGCGACGCUGUAUCCGGGGUUGGGGGUAAGCAUCGCAAGGGGGGUAGCAAUACCGCCAACCCUCAAAAGAAGUGCUCUGUAAAAGGGGUCAAUAAGCCCCCAGCCGCCCCCUGGCAUGGGGUCAGGGAGAGCCCCUGGGCCGAAGUUUGUGGUGCCAAGAAGCCUAGAGACAGGGAUCUAAGUGACAGCUCGCAAUGCAUCAUUGAAUUAUUCGAUCUUAGUGUGAGACUAAGACACGUUUAUGUGGGUGUGAGGCAGCUGCUGGAGAAAACGUUUCCCAGGCUGGUUCUGGAAGUGAUGCAAAAGCAGAACUUUCCAGAAGACAGCGGGGAUUUAGCCCAAAAGCUGGCAGAAACAAAAAAGAUGAUUGAAAACUUGGAAAACUGGUCAAACGGGGAAGGGCGUCAGUGACUAAGCACGAAAGCUAAAAAGGUACAGAGGGGGUGGGGGGGGAGUGCGGGAGAUCUAACAGACUAAGAAGGCUUUGGGCGAAAAAAACGUAGAAAAGCCAGAGCGGGUUUACGAAAAUGCUCCCCCAGCCCGGAAAGGGAAUCGAACACCUCCCCCCUCCUGAGCCCGGAAAGGGAAUCCCCCAACCCCCACUGCUGAAGCUGUGGAUUCUCCCAACCCCCCUCAGAUGUAUUUAUAAGAACAUAAGAACGGCCGUACUGGGUCAGACCAAAGGUCCAUCUAGCCCAGUCUCCUGUCUGCUGACAGUGG